rnacentral:tRNA from 1 species
AGAACACUAGUUAAUUAAUAAUAUAUACUUGUCAAGUAUAAGUAGCUUUCCCGAGCGCGUUCUA